rnacentral:rRNA from 1 species
AACGAACGCUGGCGGCAUGCCUAACACAUGCAAGUCGAACGAGACCUUCGGGUCUAGUGGCGCACGGGUGCGUAACGCGUGGGAAUCUGCCCUUGGGUUCGGAAUAACAGUUGGAAACGACUGCUAAUACCGGAUGAUGACGUAAGUCCAAAGAUUUAUCGCCCAAGGAUGAGCCCGCGUAGGAUUAGCUAGUUGGUGAGGUAAAGGCUCACCAAGGCGACGAUCCUUAGCUGGUCUGAGAGGAUGAUCAGCCACACUGGGACUGAGACACGGCCCAGACUCCUACGGGAGGCAGCAGUGGGGAAUAUUGGACAAUGGGCGAAAGCCUGAUCCAGCAAUGCCGCGUGAGUGAUGAAGGCCUUAGGGUUGUAAAGCUCUUUUACACGGGAUGAUAAUGACAGUACCGGGAGAAUAAGCUCCGGCUAACUCCGUG